GGGGAAUAUUGCACAAUGGGGGAAACCCUGAUGCAGCCAUGCCGCGUGUGUGAAGAAGGCCUUCGGGUUGUAAAGCACUUUCAGUAGGGAGGAAGGUAGUGUAGUUAACACCUGCAUUAUUUGACGUUACCUACAGAAGAAGCACCUGCUAACUCCGUGCCAGCAGCCGCGGUAAUACGGAGGGUGCGAGCGUUAAUCGGAAUUACUGGGCGUAAAGCGCAUGCAGGCGGCCUGUUAAGUCAGAUGUGAAAGCCCCGGGGCUUAACCUCGGAAUUGCAUUUGAAACUGGCAGGCUAGAGUCUUGUAGAGGGGGUAGAAUUUCAGGUGUAGCGGUGAAAUGCGUAGAGAUCUGAAGGAAUACCAGUGGCGAAGGCCGGCCCCCUGGACAAAGACUGACGCUCAGAUGCGAAAGCGUGGGGAGCAAACAGGAUUAGAUACCCUGGUAG
rnacentral:rRNA from 1 species